GUGGUUGUGGCUCAGUGGUAGAGUUCUUACCUUGCACAUGUGAGACAUGAGGUUCAAUCCUCAGUACCACA
rnacentral:tRNA from 1 species